rnacentral:lncRNA from 1 species
GGAAUAUGCAUAGGCGUUAGAGUAAUAUAAAAAUUAAAAAAAUGGUGAAUUAUUAUGUAUUUUAUUCAUGCUUUUCAAGAACGCACUUGUUCAAAAUGAAUUUAGUAUUCUAUAUUUGAUUUUCAGAGCAUGUUUAUAUUUUAUUUUUAAUACAUACAUUGUUGAAAUUGACCCUAAAUCAAAAAUGUGUGACUUUUACCGACUUAUGAAACCUUUAGUUUGAAGUCCUUGAAUAAGAUCACUGUGCUGAAAUAUUACUGAAGAUAUUGAAAUAAGGAGUGAAAAGUUCCCUUAUCUUUUUUUAAGAAUAUGCUGCAAGGUUAGUUGUGAAAUUUGCAAAAAAAAUAGAGGGAAAGAGAGUAAAUACAAGAAAAUUAAUAUCAAUGAAUGGAAAUUUGGCCCUUAAAUAUAUAAAGCCAUUUAGAGGUUAAGAAGAUUAUCAUCAAUUAAAGAACAUGUCUAUGUGGUUACGUCCAACUCUUAAUCAAGUAAGGGAGCUACCAUUUGAUUUUUAGGGGGGCUAGGAUGAAAUUUGAAAAAAAAACAGGCAGGACAGGAGUUCUGAGUAAAAAAAAAGGCAGGAUGAGACACUUGCAAAAAAAAAAGUCAGGAUGACAAUUUACGGUAGGUAAAAAAAAGGCAGGACAGAGAUUUCAGCUAAAAUAAAUAUGCAGGACAAAGUUUUUCAUCCUAGCCCCCCCCCCCCUAAAAACAAAUGGUUGCUCCCUAAGGUGUGGUAUAAUGAUUGCCAAUGAGACAACUCUACAGUAGCGACCAGAUGACACAGAAGUUAUCAACUAUAGGUCACUGUACGGCCUUCAAUAAUGAGCAUAAUCCUUACUGCAUUGAAAGCUACAAAAGAUCCAAAAAAUGACAAAUAAUUCUAACAAGAAAACUUAAACACCCUGAUUAAUGUGCAAGGCAACGAAACAAACAAAAAAAAAACAAAUAUAUUAUACUACUACUAACAACUACCUUAAAUUACAGCCUCCUGACUUGGGACAGGCACAUACAAUCCAUCCCCUACUCUCAAUCAGUAGCACAACAGCACAAAACAAGAACAAACUUUACAAAGAAAUAAAAGAAAAAGAAAUAUGAUAAAUAGAAAAUAAAAAACCUGACAUAUGAAGAGGUUCCUGUGUCUUUCAACAGACACACACAUAUGACAUGAUAGUGUAGCAAGGUUGAACUAGUUUGAAGAUGCACAAUACAUGGUAACAGUUGGAAUUUUUUUUUACAUUCUAGCUUGUUUUCAUCAGUUUCACGGAAAUGUGAAGAAAAUCUUUUUAUUGAGAUUUUCAUGCAGCAGCU